rnacentral:rRNA from 1 species
AACGAACGCUGGCGGCGUGCCUAACACAUGCAAGUCGAGCGAGAAAGUCCCUUCGGGGGCGAGUAAAGCGGCGGACGGGUGAGUAAUACAUGGAUAAUCUUCCCUCGAGCCUGGGAUAACCCUGCGAAAGUGGGGCUAAUACCGGAUAAGACCACAUGACACAUGUCACGGGGUAGAAGGUGGCUUGUAUUUAUAUGAGCUAUCACUUGAGGAUGAGUCCAUGGCCUAUCAGCUAGUUGGUGAGGUAAGAGCUUACCAAGGCUAUGACGGGUAGCUGGUCUGAGAGGACGACUAGCCACACUGGGACUGAGACACGGCCCAGACUCCUACGGGAGGCAGCAGUGGGGAAUAUUGGGCAAUGGGCGAAAGCCUGACCCAGCGACGCCGCGUGGGUGAUGAAGGCCUUCGGGUUGUAAACCCUUUACGUUGCGGAAGAAUAGUCUCGUAGCGAAUAACUAUGGAUUGACGUACCGCGGAAGAAGCACCGGCUAACUCCGUCG